rnacentral:rRNA from 1 species
UGGGGAAUUUUGGACAAUGGGGGAAACCCUGAUCCAGCCAUCCCGCGUGUGCGAUGAAGGCCUUCGGGUUGUAAAGCACUUUUGGCAGGAAAGAAACGUCAUGGGUUAAUACCCCGUGAAACUGACGGUACCUGCAGAAUAAGCACCGGCUAACUACGUGCCAGCAGCCGCGGUAAUACGUAGGGUGCAAGCGUUAAUCGGAAUUACUGGGCGUAAAGCGUGCGCAGGCGGUUCGGAAAGAAAGAUGUGAAAUCCCAGAGCUCAACUUUGGAACUGCAUUUUUAACUACCGGGCUAGAGUGUGUCAGAGGGAGGUAGAAUUCCGAGUGUAGCAGUGAAAUGCGUAGAUAUGCGGAGGAACACCGAUGGCGAAGGCAGCCUCCUGGGAUAACACUGACGCUCAUGCUCGAAAGCGUGGGGAGCAAACAGG